rnacentral:lncRNA from 1 species
GUGUGGUUGACAUUUAAAUGUUGUGUCGUUGUUUUCCUUUAUAUUUAAUGCGUUUCCCUCAGUUUUAGUUUGUAACCCGGUUUGGUUUUUUCUACUGAUUUAUUGAGUUUCGAACAGCGGUAUACUUCUAUUUCCUUUAUUUAUACGGUAUGUUAAAACCGCCAUACAACGCGAAUAGCCUUAUAUACAAAUGUAUGAACAUGUAGAUUCUUAG